rnacentral:rRNA from 1 species
AUGAGCAAACUGGAGACAAAAAUUCUCCUGCUGCAGAUGAUGAUUACAGCGAGCAGCUUGCUGAAUUUCGGCGAUCGCUACGAUGGCAGUAACUGUGGCGACUACUAUGACACAGAUGGCGACUGGUCUGAGAUCUGUGCAUAUGAUGACUACAGAAAGGAUAUUCCACCGAGUCUCAAAAUUGGCUAUCACGGAGACAGCAUUAAUGUAUCGAUGGCUUACAGCUUAUCUCGGGACUUGGUGGAGCUGUUAUCUGUGCGUCCCCGAUUUCCCUUCGUGGGCACCUUCGUUGCUUUCAACGAUCGUUCCCAUUACUACUGCAACUCGCAGAAUGGACCACUUCAUCGUAAUGUUGAUUGA